rnacentral:rRNA from 1 species
AGAACGAACGCUGGCGGCAGGCCUCAAACAUGCAAGUCUAGGGGUGUAGCAAUACACACCGGCGGACGGGUGCGUAACGCGUGGGAACAUACCUUUCGGUACGGAACAACCCAGGGAAACUUGGGCUAAUACCGUAUACGUCCUAACGGAGAAAGAUUUAUCGCCGAAGGAUUGGCCCGCGUUCGAUUAGCUAGUUGGUGGGGUAACGGCCCACAAGGCGACGAUCGAUAGCUGUUCUGAGAGGAAGAUCAGCCACACUGGGACUGAGACACGGCCCAGACUCCUACGGGAGGCAGCAGUUGGGAAUCUUGGACAAUGGGGGAAACCCUGAUCCAGCCAUGCCGCGUGAGUGAUGAAGGCCUUCGGGUUGUAAAACUCUUUCGACGGGGACGAUAAUGACGGUACCCGUAGAAGAAGCUCCGGCUAACUUCGUGCCAGCAGCCGC